rnacentral:rRNA from 1 species
AGUGAACGCUGGCGGUAGGCCUAACACAUGCAAGUCGAACGGCAGCACAGUAAGAGCUUGCUCUUACGGGUGGCGAGUGGCGGACGGGUGAGGAAUACAUCGGAAUCUACUUUUUCGUGGGGGUUAACGUAGGGAAACUUACGCUAAUACCGCAUACGACCUACGGGUGAAAGCAUUGGUUCUUCGGACCUUGCGCGUUUGAAUGAGCCGAUGUCGGAUUAGCUAGUUGGCUGGGUAAAGGCCCACCAAGGCGACGAUCCGUAGCUGGUCUGAGAGGAUGAUCAGCGACACUGGAACUGAGACACGGUCCAGAGUCCUACGGGAGGCAGCAGUGGGGAAUAUUGGACAACGGGCGGAAGCAUGAUGCAGCAAUACCGCGUGGGUGAAGAAGGCCUUAGGGUUGUAAAGGACUUUUGUUGGGAAAGAAAAGAAGCAGGUUAAUACACCGAUGUUCUGACGGUACCAAAAGAAUAAGCACCGGCUAACUUCGUG